GCCGGUGGUCACUCCACUUUAUGACCGGCGGCGGCAAAUUAAAGGAGGAAGAUCCGCUGUGGCUGGCGGUGCGGCAGUGUGGAGACCUGUCGUAAGGCGGUGCGCCGGGAGGCGGCUGCGAGACUGUUCCCUGCGGAGGCAGAACAGUUACAGUCAAGAAUGUAUGGCA
rnacentral:ncRNA from 1 species